GUCAGGAUGGCCGAGCGGUCUGAGGCGCCGCGUUCAGGUCGAAGUCUCCCCUGGAGGCGUGGGUUCGAAUCCCACUUCCGACA
rnacentral:tRNA from 1 species